AUGCAUUAUCACACAACAUGGUCCUUGAAGAUGCAUCUACAGACAGACUAGUUUCAGUUCAAACCUCACCUCUGGCAGUGGAGUCCCACCUGGGCAUGUCAGGUUUUCCUCCAUCUGUUUCAGAAUUCCUG